UACGAAGGGGGCUAGCGUUGCUCGGAAUUACUGGGCGUAAAGCGCACGUAGGCGGCUUUCUAAGUCGGGGGUGAAAUCCUGGAGCUCAACUCCAGAACUGCCUUUGAUACUGAGGAUCUUGAGUUCGGGAGAGGUGAGUGGAACUGCGAGUGUAGAGGUGAAAUUCGUAGAUAUUCGCAAGAACACCAGUGGCGAAGGCGGCUCACUGGCCCGAUACUGACGCUGAGGCACGAAAGCUAGGGGAGCAAACGGG
rnacentral:rRNA from 1 species